rnacentral:rRNA from 1 species
AUCUACGGCCAUGCCACCCUGAACAAGCCCAAUCCGGUCUGAUCUCGGAAGCUGAGCAGGGUGGGGCCUGGUUAGUACUUGGAUGGGAGACCACCUAGGAAUACCAGGUGCUGUAGGUG